CAUUUGAGUGAGUGGCGAACUGGUGAGUAACACGUGGGAAACCUGCCCAGAAGCGGGGGAUAACACCUGGAAACAGAUGCUAAUACCGCAUAACAACUUGGACCGCAUGGUCCGAGUUUGAAAGAUGGCUUCGGCUAUCACUUUUGGAUGGUCCCGCGGCGUAUUAGCUAGAUGGUGAGGUAACGGCUCACCAUGGCAAUGAUACGUAGCCGACCUGAGAGGGUAAUCGGCCACAUUGGGACUGAGACACGGCCCAAACUCCUACGGGAGGCAGCAGUAGGGAAUCUUCCACAAUGGACGAAAGUCUGAUGGAGCAACGCCGCGUGAGUGAAGAAGGGUUUCGGCUCGUAAAACUCUGUUGUUAAAGAAGAACAUAUCUGAGAGUAACUGUUCAGGUAUUGACGGUAUUUAACCAGAAAGCCACGGCUAACUACGUGCCAGCAGCCGCGGUAAUACGUAGGUGGCAAGCGUUGUCCGGAUUUAUUGGGCGUAAAGCGAGCGCAGGCGGUUUUUUAAGUCUGAUGUGAAAGCCUUCGGCUCAACCGAAGAAGUGCAUCGGAAACUGGGAAACUUGAGUGCAGAAGAGGACAGUGGAACUCCAUGUGUAGCGGUGAAAUGCGUAGAUAUAUGGAAGAACACCAGUGGCGAAGGCGGCUGUCUGGUCUGUAACUGACGCUGAGGCUCGAAAGUAUGGGUAGCAAACAGGAUUAGAUACCCUGGUAGUCCAUACCGUAAACGAUGAAUGCUAAGUGUUGGAGGGUUUCCGCCCUUCAGUGCUGCAGCUAACGCAUUAAGCAUUCCGCCUGGGGAGUACGGCCGCAAGGCUGAAACUCAAAGGAAUUGACGGGGGCCCGCACAAGCGGUGGAGCAUGUGGUUUA
rnacentral:rRNA from 1 species